UAUUUCACUUUAUGCACAUAAGAAUUUAUUUGGUAGGAUAAGCAAGGAACUGGGCCCCAAGGGUGGGAAGGAGACAUCACUGUAUAUACUUUGACUUUUCUGUUUGAACCAUGAACUAUGUGAACAGGCUACUAUUCAAAAUGAGUGGGAUGUUUUGUUUUGUGAGCAAAUGUCAAGGGUUUUUGGUAUAAGCUGGUAAAAACCAUAGUUGGAGCUCUUUCCCCAGUCUUGACUACUUUUGCUCUGCCUGGCCCUCCUCUCCAGGCCCGGUCCUCCUCUCCUCCAUUUCUCUUCUUUAAGGUCCAGUUAACAGUCUGCCUCUUCCAGGAAGCAAAAGUAACAGCUGAUGCCUAUACGGUACUGACCACGUGCCUGGCCUCGCUCUGCAUGCUCUCAUGUUGAUCCACCCAAAUGGUCUUCAGAAGAACCCAGUGCGUUAUCCAAAAAUAACCCAGGUCUCCUUGUCCAUGAACACGUAAAAACUGAAUCGCAACGGAGAGAAACAGAAAAAGAACAAGGCCUGGGUUUGUCCCGUAUCCAGGAAACUUUAUAUGUUGUCUAAACUGAGCAUCCCAGCAGGCUACGAGGCAGAUGGCAGCUCAGGAUUCAGAAUGUUGACCAAUUCCUACCUGGAUCCACACCACCAAGCUGUAACUCAGCCUGCCUCUGCAGAAAUAGGAGCCCAGCCACGUGGCUAACAGCUUUUUUAACUGCUGCUCUCAGCAAUGAGGAACUUCCCCAGCAGACAAGAUUCAGUAAGACGGCCUUCAUCGAGAGAAAUGAAAAGGAAGCAAUAUCAAGAUUGAUCCAACAGGAUAUACAGGUUCAACCAAACACUCAAGACAAUACGCAAGCCCCCAAAGCUCAAUUAAGCCAGGAGGAGAUGAGGACCAGGUGCUGCUACCUUGCCCUCUAGUCCUUGGGACCUCAGGUCACAAACCCAGGACAUCAUGCAGGUCUGCCUCCAUGUCACUAGAUUGUCAUAAGAGGCUUCAUACUUGUCAGGAAGGAAGCCAGGACAUGCCUGAGGUGGCACCUGAACUACAUCUUUAAAAUGCACAACAUGUAUGAAAAAACCAAGGUACAGAGUGUAAAGUAUGAUGCUAUUUGUGUAAAAAAAUAAGAGAAGGAGGGUAGGUAGGAGUAUGUAUAGGAAGAAACAGUCUCUGCAAGGGAACUUAAGAAACUGGCAGCACUAUCUCUGGGGAGGGGAGCUGAGCAGUUGGGAAGAAAAGGCAGGAGGAAGACUCUACGUUUGUAUCUUUUCAAUUCAGAACUAUGUGAAUGUAUAACCUUUUAAAGAACAAAUUAAAAUUUUUAAAAAUGCAUAAUGCUACUACUAUCUUAUUUCUUUUAAAAAAAAUGCUCUAUGUGUGUGCUCAGAGAAAACAUUCUGGAAGAAUCCUAUUGCGAACCAUGGGUUACACUGGGACGUGGGAGUAGGGGAAGGAAGGAGACUUUCGUGUUUUAUUUCAUACAGUUAGUAGCAUUUUACUUGUUUCCAAAAGGCAGUACUACUUUUGCAAAUUUUACUUUAAAAAAAAAAAAAAAAACCUUUACAAACUGCAACCUCACUUUCAAAAACAAUCCCUAAACUCCCACAGCACUCUGUCUCACAUUACUGAAUCACAUCCCAUCUUGUGUUACGAUUAUUCGUGUCCAGGUCUCAUCUCUGUUAAAUGCUGGAGCAACUGCAACUUUGUUCUGUCUACCAUGCUGGCUCCACUUCCCAGGGACAAGACUCUAGAAAAAAGACCUGGUAAGGAAUAAAACAAUCAAAAUGGUAACCAAGCAAUUACACAGGACAAAACAAUCAACCAAAGCUAAGAGUGAGCAGUAAUCUUAUACAUAUAUUAAUUAGUACAAGAAUAUCGCUGGGCGUUGUGGCUCACGCCUGUAAUCCCAGCACUUUGGGAGGCCGAGUCAGGCAGAUCACCUGAGAUCGGGAGUUCAAGACCAGCCUGACCAACAUGGAGAAACCCCCUCUCUACUAAAAAUACAAAAUUAGCCAGGUGCAUGCCUGUAAUCCCAGCUACUCGGGAGGCUGAGGCAGAAUUGCUUGAACCUGCAAGGCAGAGGUUGCAGUGAGCUGACAACACGCCACUGCACUCCAGCCUGGGUGACAACAGCAAAACCCCGUUUCAAAAAAAAAAAAAUAUCAGCAAUAGGAAAUCAUGGCCAAGUUAAAAAUGCACUGAAAACAAAGCAGCAUGCUUCCCAGAUUUCCCAGAAUUCCCAGGAAUUCUGACAAUCUGCAUGUGUGUAUGUGCUAGGAGCUUUGCAAAAUAGCCAAGCAAAGGCCAGGCAUGGUGGCUCACACUUGUAAUCCCAGCACUUUGGGAGGCUGAGGUGGGCAGAUCCCUUGAGGUCAGGAGCUCGAGACCAGCCUGGACAAAAUGGCGAAAUCCCGUCUCUACUAAAAAUACAAAAAUUAGCUUGGUGUGGUGGCAUGUGCCUGUAAUCCCAGCUACUCAGGAGGCUGAGGCAGGAGAAUCGCUUGGAGGCAGAGGUUGCAGUGAGCCAAGACAGUGCCACUGCAGUCCAGCCUGGGUGACAGAGCGAGAUCUCCCAAAAAAAAAAAAAAAAAAAGGCGAGCAAAAAGUAGCAGCUAAAUUCUUAAAAUUCAGUAAAUUCUUAUCUCAGGAUAUGUUCUUUAUUUAGGAAAAUUCCUGAGUGACCUGAGUGUGGAAAGAUGAUGCUCCUAUUAGCACAUGGCCUGAAGGGAUGAAUAAAAUAAUUUUUCUGUAAAAUGCAAGCAGAAAGUUUGAGUUUCUGGGAAAAAUGGGAGAGUGUGCUAGAAAAAUGAAGGUGAUGUGCGGUGGUCCAGAAAAAGAGGGCUCAGUACUAGGCAAGAGACCAUGUGGUGGAGGAAAAGAUUGCCCCUGGGAAACUGAGAAAUUUUGGGAAGCAAGAGGCACUGAAUGUUGACAUCUCAGUGUUAAGCUACUUUCUCUAAAGUAAUGUAACUCCUCUUUGUGGCCUCUAACAGACUGUCACUUAUUACCACUGACAUGAGUUUGCACAGGGGAUUAUCCAGAAUGGAGCAAAUGGGGCAGAAGGAUCCCUCACAUCCAUAAUUCUCAGUAACACUCCCAAAACCCUCAAUCUGAGGGCCGGAUUUAUUCCCCUGCCUGAAACAACAACGAACAAAACCAGACAAGGUAUAUGAAAAAAUGAUUCCAGAUGGAAAUACAUGAAUGAUAGUGAUAGAGGAGAAAUGCUGAUACCAGUAGAGAGAAAAUCUACAAAGAACAGACACAGAGAUCAAGAGAUAAGCAGAAGUGGAAAAAAACAAGAGGAAAUCAGAAAAAAAAUGAAUGCUGCUGUGAACCCACAAGAAAUAAAAGGACUAGGGUAGAACUGGAUUUCUCACAGUACAAGGGAUGGACCCUGUCUCUGUUUGGGGCUGACACCUGGGUGCCCUCUAUAAGAAAGAAAGGUGCCCACCUUUCUUUCACUCUCCAAAUCCAAUCUGUUAGGAAGUCUUGUUAGUUACAACUUUAAAACACAUUCAGAACCCAACCACUUCUCCUCUCUGCCACUGCUACCACCCUAACCCAAGUCACUGUCAGCUCUCACCUGCACAACAGCCGAGAACCUCCUCGCCUUCCCAAUUACAAUUUCACAUGCCCCCGACUCCCAACCCAUCUAUUCACAUAGCAGUCAGCACGUCUGUCACCUUACACAAGAGCUUAAAUUAUUUGCUUACUGUCUCUCUCUCCUACUAAAAUGUUAGCUCCAUGAAGGCAAGGUCUUUUUUUUUGUUCAUUGACGUAUUCCCAGAGACUAGAACAGUGCUAAGGUAUACACAGUCAUCCCUCAGUAUCCGUGGAGAAUUGGUUCCAGGACACCCCUUCAUUCUCCACUCUUCACGCAUCAGUUUAUGGGGGUUCAGGAGGACCAGGAUCUGCAAAUCAUACUGUGAGAAACACCAUCUUGCUUUGUCAAUUAAUGCUGGGACUACAAUGACUUGUACAUAAGAGAUUCAUAUAUGCUCACUGAAUAAAAAAAUGAAUAUAAAAUAAGUUUCAGGUCAUAUAUGGUACCUAGGACUAGCCUGGGCAGAAUCCAGAUGCUUUUGUAUCUCCUAGCACACGCAAUGAAUGAUAGAGUUGAUACUCAAAAAUGAUGUGAAUUCUAAAAGAAAAUAUAUUGUUUAACAUGGACCUAAGCCAAUUCUGUGCCAGCCACAAUAAACAAGAGAUGGCUAUGGCAAUUCUUGUCUUCAAGGAACUUACAUAUCUGUAUCUCUAUUAAUUUGUGAACAAGUUCAAGUAACUCAGAUAUAGUAUAACUGCUCUACUCGAGAUGUAUACAAGAAACAUUUACGAGUCACAGCCAGGCGCGGUGGCUCAUGCCUGUAAUCCCAGCACUUUAGGAGGCCGAGGCGGACGGAUCACGAAGUCAGGAGAUCGAGACCAUCCUGGCUAACACAGUGAAACCCCAUCUCUACUAAAAACACAAAAAAUUAGCUGGGUGUGGUCACGGGCACCUGUAGUCCCAGCUACUCGGGAGGCUGAGGCAGGAGAAUGGCGUGAACCUGAGUGGCGGAGCUUGCAGUGAGCCAAGAUCACGCCACUGCACUCCAGCCUGGGCGACAGAGUGAAACUCCGUCUCAAAAAAAGAGAAACAUUUGGGAGUCACAAAGAAGGAAGUGACCAUCUUUACUGAGGAGGUCAGAGGUCAAGGAAAGAUUUCUAAAAAAGAUUUAACUUAGGCCGGGCGCGGUGGCUAACACCUGUAAUCCCAGCACUUUGGGAGGCCAAGGUGGGUGGAUCACUUGAGGUCAGGAGUUGGAGAUCAGCCUGGCUAACAUGGUGAAACCCCAUCUCUACUAAAAAUAGAAAAAUUAGCCAGGCAUGGUGGCACACACCUGUAAUCCCAGCUACUUGGGAGGCUGAGGCAGAAUCGUUUGAACCCAGGAGGCGGGAGGCUGCAGUGAGCAGAGAUUGUGCCACUGCUCUCCAGCCUAGGUGACAGAGCGAGACUCCAUCUCAAAAAAAAAAUUUAACUUGAGCUGAGUCUUUAGGGAAGAAGGUACAGUCUGUGUGAAGGCAUAACAUACAUGAUUAAGUGGUUACUGAGAGAGAGUUAACAGAAUAUGGAGAUAUUCUGACAUAAGACAGAAAAAAAUUACAAAGUACUGUCCUGGGCCGGGCAUGGUGGCUCACGCCUGUAAUCCCAGCACUUUGGGAGGCCGAGGCGGGUGGAUCACAAGGUCAGGAGAUCGAGACCAUCCUGGCUAACACGGUGAAACCCUGUCUCUACUUAAAAUACAAAAAAAAUAAUUAGCCGGGAAUGAUGGCGGGCGCCUGUAAUCCCAGCUACUCGGGAGGCUGAGGCAGGAGAAUGGCGUGAACCCAGGAGGCAGAGCUUACAGUGAGAAGAGAUCGCACCACUGCACUCCAGCCUGGGCGACAGAGCGAGACUCCAUCUCAAAAAAAAAAAGUUCCUGGACCCACCUCUCAAACUACCCAUUUCCCAAUAAGAUGUGACCUCCAAAGGGGCUUAACAGAUUUAAAAACAUCAAAUAACACAAUCAGGGAGGGAAAGACAAAACGUAUUUAUUCCAGGCCAGGUCUUAAAAUGCACACUGCACGGUUCCCUG
rnacentral:lncRNA from 10 species